UAAAAAAAUUUUUAAAUAAAAAUAUUUAAUGGGGGUUAAAGUAUUUUUAUAGAAAAAAUUAAAUAAUUUAAAGUAAAUUAGUAUUGUGAAAGAAUUUUGAAAUAAUUGAAAUAAAAAAUUAUAAUAAAGUAAUUUUAAUUUAAUGUAUCUUGUGUAUCAGAGUUUAUUAAAAAAUAUUUAUAAAUAAUAAAAUUCUCGAAUUUAAAAGAGAUAAUUAAUUAUGAAAGUUAUUGUAGCAUAAAUAUUUUAAAUAAUUAAUUUGAAAUGAAAUGUUAAUCGUUUUUAAAUAUAUCUAGUUUUUUUAGAAAAAAAUUUAAUUUUAUAUUAAUUUUAUAAAUCAAUUAAUUAAUUAAUUGAUUUAUAAAAUUAAUAUUAUAUUUUAAGGGAUAAGCUUUAAUUUAAAUUUAUAUAAAAUAUUUUUAAUUUAAUUUGAAAUUUUUAUAAUUUAUAUUGUUAAAAAAUUUUAAUUUAUUAUAAAUAAUUUCAUUUAAAAUAAAAUUUAAUAAUAAUUUAUUUAUUUAUAAAAAAAAAUUAUUUAAUUAAAAAAUAAUUGUUAUAAUGAUAAAAUUAGUAUAUGAAAUUAUUUUUUAAAUAUUAAUUUUUUUUAAAAAUUAAUUAUAAGGAAUUCGGCAAAAAUUUAUAUUCACUUGUUUAUCAAAAACAUGUCUUUUUGAAAAUAAUAUAAAGUCUAAUCUGCCCACUGAUUUUAUAUUGAAGGGCUGCAGUAUUUUGACUGUACAAAGGUAGCAUAAUCAUUAGUCAUUUAAUUGAUGACUUGUAUGAAAGAUUGGAUGAAAUAUAAACUGUCUCUUAAUUAAAUUAUAGAAUUUAAUUUUUUAAUUAAAAAGUUAAAAUAAAUUAAAAAGACGAGAAGACCCUAUAGAGUUUUAUAAAUAAAUUAAUUAAGAUUAUUAAUAAAUUUUAAAAAUUAAAAUUAAUUUAUUUAUUUUGUUGGGGUGACAAAAAAAUAAAUUUAACUUUUUUUAUAUAGAACCAUAUAUAAGUGAUUAAAUGAUCCAUUAAUAAUGAUUAAAAGAAAAAAUUACCUUAGGGAUAACAGCGUAAUUUUUUUUUUUAGUUCGUAUAAGAAAAAGAGUUUGCGACCUCGAUGUUGGAUUAAGAUAAAAUUUAAAUGCAGAAGUUUAAAAUUUUUGAUCUGUUCGAUCAUUAAAAUCUUACAUGAUCUGAGUUCAAACCGGUGUAAGCCAGGUUGGUUUCUAUCUUUUAAAAAUUAAAAUAUUUUAGUACGAAAGGAUUAAAUAUUUAAAUUAAAUUUAUUUAAAUGAAUUUUAAUAAAU
rnacentral:rRNA from 1 species